ACGUGCAAUCACGUUGCAGCUCUCCGCAUCCACCGCACAGUUGACAGAUUUAAUUCGUGAUAAUUUUUCAUAUUCAUCAAACGACAGGAAGAGUUGCUCGCAUCACCGAUUGAUAGAGUUCCUAGAUCAUCAAAAAAUUCAAUCUGACAUGAUUUUAUCCAAAAAUAAUGAGAGACCGGUUUUAGAGGCAGCUGUGGCCCACCGAAUGAUCUCUCCAAAGUGCCUUUGGAGAUGGCUUUUGCAACGUCCAACACAUUCACACACAUAUCAAAUACUGGCCAGGGAUGUAACAGCUGUUGGCUCGCACAGUUAAUCCAUCACGUAGAAGUGUACGACGGUGUGGUAGCAACACGAGAAGAAAAAGCGAUUGAGUCGAGAAAGAGAAGUAGAAGAAUGAGAGGGCGGAGAUGACGACUGAAGCGAGAGAAAGACCUGGUGGCUUUCUGACGACAUUGCUUGAGGAAAUAAUCCACUAGUAUUAAUCCAUCAUGUGAACUAUGUUGGGGAGAAGUGGGAGGAAUACCUUAUAAGACAUUCACUCAUCAAUUGGAAUCAUCCACUGGGAGAAUUUAAAUUACUACUUUAUCACCAAGUGUAUCGUGCUCCAACGACGAAUUAAUCCCAAUGAUUUUAUCCCCAGGAGUUGAGAUAUCACCAGCAACAAAUUAGUUUUCUGAUAUUAUGUCAAUAUUUCUCUCAGCACGAUAUCUAGUUACGAUCGAAUGAAAAUAAACGUAACUAUUGAUUAUCCUUAUAUUCCCAGUGAUUCGUAAAAAGUGUCGGCAAAGUUUACUCAACAAUUACCGUGCAAUCGCAACAAUUCCACCAUCGUCAACCAGUGAGAAAAAUAAAAAAAAUAUUGAGAGGCAAAACACAAAUGAAACUAAAAACAAGGUCAUCAUGAAGACUCGUCUUUGUUACCCGAGAAGGCAUUACAGCAAUCAACUUUAAUGGAAGCAAUAAAAUGCAGGUGGCAGUGGCACGCAUUCUCAACUGUAUCCUCACCAAAGUACCCACGAGUUGUAGAAAAUACUUGGACAUUGGUGAUGAUACUUGUGUGAGUGAGGAAACAAGGGUUCAAUGGCGUCUCCCUGGAUCUAUCUGAAUCCAUUUUGAUGUUGCGCCGACGCUUUAUCACAACGCGAGAGCUUUUAUUUACUUCUCCCCAACAUUUUCAUCCCGAAUGGGUGAAAGAAAAAAUAUUUGCAAAAUCUAUUUCAGUUCUCGCGAAUUUUAACCACUCAAUUUCUCUCUCUGUAUCGUAAUAAAUCUCAUCCCAGC